rfam:Pseudocohnilembus persalinus scaffold1960, whole genome shotgun sequence.
AGCCGCAUAGCCAAGUGGUUAAGGCAUCGGACUUAAGUUCCGACAUGCGUGGGUUCGAUCCCCACUGCGGCUA